rnacentral:rRNA from 1 species
AAAGCGUGGGUAGCAAACAGGAUUAGAUACCCUGGUAGUCCACGCCGUAAACGAUGUCUACUAGUCGUUGGGUCCCUUGAGGACUUAGUGACGCAGCUAACGCAAUAAGUAGACCGCCUGGGGAGUACGGCCGCAAGGUUAAAACUCAAAUGAAUUGACGGGGGCCCGCACAAGCGGUGGAGCAUGUGGUUUAAUUCGAUGCAACGCGAAGAACCUUACCUGGUCUUGACAUACACAGAAUCUUGUAGAGAUACGAGAGUGCCUUCGGGAAUUGUGAUACAGGUGCUGCAUGGCUGUCGUCAGCUCGUGUCGUGAGAUGUUGGGUUAAGUCCCGCAACGAGCGCAACCCUUGUCCUUAGUUACCAGCGGGUUAAGCCGGGAACUCUAAGGAUACUGCCAGUGACAAACUGGAGGAAGGCGGGGACGACGUCAAGUCAUCAUGGCCCUUACGACCAGGGCUACACACGUGCUACAAUGGUAGGUACAGAGGGCAGCUACACAGCGAUGUGAUGCGAAUCUCAAAAAGCCUAUCGUAGUCCAGAUUGGAGUCUGCAACUCGACUCCAUGAAGUAGGAAUCGCUAGUAAUCGCGGAUCAGAAUGCCGCGGUGAAUACGUUCCCGGGCCUUGUACACACCGCCCGUCACACCAUGGGAGUUGAUUGCACCAGAAGUGGUUAGCCUAACUUAGUGAGGGCGAUCACCACGGUGUGGUCGAUGACUGGGGUGAAGUCGUAACAAGGUAGCCGUAGGGGAACCUGCGGCUG